GUUCCUGCGACAGGUUGGGGUUGAUUUGGGGGGUGGGGGUAAGGAAGGCGUUUGGUUAGUGCUGUAUUUCGUUUCUAGGCACAUGGAAGAUGGGGGGUCUGUUUCCGCCAUUGAACGCAAGCUGGCGGGGCUAGCAUUCCUUUUUAAAUUACAGGGGUUGCAAGAUUUUACAAAGAAUUUUUGGGUUAAACAAACGGUGAAGGGAUACCGGCGGGGUAAGGUGCGGAGGGAUUUGCGUAGACCGGUGUCGUUCGCAGUGCUUCAAGCGAUCUGCGGCAAGCUGGGGGAGGUGUGUUCGUCAGGAUAUGAGGGGAUCCUUUUUCGGGCGGUUUUUGCGGUGGCGUUUUUUGGGGCUUUUCGGUUGGGUGAAUUGGUUAGCCCGUCAAAAUCGGUGGAGGGUGGAUUCGGUUUUCAAGAUGUGCGAGUGGAGGGGGACAGGGUGGUGAUCAUGUUGCGCCGGUCAAAGACGGACCAGGUGGGGAGGGGAACACGGGUGGUGCUUUAUGCAUUACCGGGUUCAGAGGUGUGUCCGGUUAGAGCGGUUGGGGAGUUUGUGUGCGUUCGCCCGAUAGGGCUGGGGGCAUUUUUUACACACAGGGAUGGGACGUUUUUGUCUAAAUUUCAGUUUGUACAGGUGUUCAGAAAAUGCUUGUGUGCAGCGGGGUAUGACGGAAAACGGUAUGCUUCGCACUCCUUCCGCAUCGGGGCGGCCACAGAGGCUGCGCGGUGCGGGUUGGAUGAGGCGGCCGUUAGGAAAAUAGGCAGGUGGGAAUCUAGGAGAUUCCGCUCCUAUGUGCGUCCACAUUUGCUGAAUGAUUAAGGGUGAUGCGUGGGGACAACGGGACAAAAGGGGAUGUGUUAUGGCUGGAGUGGUAAGGUUAAGACGAAGGUUUGGUGUUAUAUAGCUACAAAAAAUUGUUUUUAUUGCAGAUGACAUCUUCCCGUGCCUCGUAUGGAUUGUAGGGCACUCUUACGUGUUCUGGGGUGCCAGGAGAGCCGACGCCCGACCGGAUGGCAGGCAACUGGGCAUUUCUAGGCGGGAGGCAUGUGUUCGCUGGCUGGGUUUUCGGGGGAUGGAAUGGAGCAGGGUGGUUCCUGAAGUCGGCCAUUAUGCCCGGCUCGAUCGCCCCCCAGAUGUGCUGGUUUUACAUGUGGGGGGAAACGAUUUGGGUGUCCGGCCGAUGGGUGAGCUGAUACUGGCAAUUAAGGCGGACUUUAUGUCCCUGCGAAUGUCAUUCCCAGGGUUGAUCAUAGUAUGGUCAGAUAUGGUGGUUAGGACGGCAUGGCGGACGGCUAGAUCAGUGGAUAGGCUGAACAAGGCUAGGAUAAAAGUCAAUCAAGUGGUGGGGAGGUUUGUGGCACGUAACGGGGGAAUAGUCAUACGGCACUCUGAGUUGGAGAGGGAUGUGGGUUUGUUUCACAGGAGGGACGGAGUUCACCUAUCUGAUAUAGGGAUUGAUCUAUGGACCUUGGGGUUGGAGGAUGGAAUCCGUAGGGCCCUGCGGGUGUGGGGUGGCCCUCGAGGAUAAGGGGUUAACCUCUCAGGCUGUGGCGGUGUCAGGUGGUCCAGGAGGUCAAAGAAAGGAACAGUUAAGACGGAAGUUGGGGGUCCAGCGGUUAUGGACCCUCUCCGUAUUCCACCGGAAUGGUGUCCGCUGGAACACGGGAAUUGGUGUACUGCGGGAUAGGGGGUGUUGCUAUGCCUUUAAGGCUGGCGGCUGGGGUUUGUUUAUGUCCCGCAGGAUAAUGGUGUAAAAUGUUAGGUGUGUUACUUCCUUGGACCACAUGUCUGUGUAUGGUUGCCAUUUUUUAUAUGGCUGUUUGGAAAAUGUAUUAUAUUUAUAAUUUUAAAAUAAUGUAAAAGUUAACAAAAUUCUUAUUAUGUAAAAAUGUGUUAAUAAAAGUUACGGCGGCUAUGGCCAAUUAUUCUCCAA